UACCCCUGGCUAUGGCAAAGAGACCCUUGUUGGUGUUGUUCUUAUAUCAAUCAGGAGCAAAGUAGAUGGCAGUCCUUCAUUCAUCCCAGCUUUACUCCUAGCAUGGUAGCCAAAGUUGUUUUAUGUCUAGGACUCAUAA